CCCCGUGCGAGUGGGGUUAGCUGCGAUCGAUCGGACACGGGCGACGCGUGCUGACACUUCGGUGCGAUUGACCGCGCGCAAGAGCGGCUUCCCCCAGCGCGGGAUCGCAUACCAGGCACCAUGUCAUCGCGUGUGUGGCUCCCUGUCGUAGCCAAAUGACAAUAACUAGGCUUAAGUGUCGGGAGCGCUCAUGAGACAAUCGUGCCAUCGUCUGCUAGAACACCAACAGGCGGGGGUGGACGAACCACCUCUUUACUCACCCAUCGAUCAAA